CGUUAGCGGCGGACGGGUGAGUAACACGUGGGUAACCUACCUAUAAGACUGGGAUAACUUCGGGAAACCGGAGCUAAUACCGGAUAAUAUUUCGAACCGCAUGGUUCGAUAGUGAAAGAUGGUUUUGCUAUCACUUAUGGAUGGACCCGCGCCGUAUANCUAGUUGGUAAGGUAACGGCUUACCAAGGCGACGAUACGUAGCCGACCUGAGAGGAUGAUCGGCCACACUGGAACUGAGACACGGUCCAGACUCCUACGGGAGGCAGCAGCU
rnacentral:rRNA from 1 species